rnacentral:rRNA from 1 species
AACGAACGCUGGCGGCAUGCCUAACACAUGCCAGUCGAACGAGACCUUCGGGUCUAGUGGCGCACGGGUGCGUAACGCGUGGGAACCUGCCCUUAGGUUCGGAAUAACUCCCCGAAAGGGGUGCUAAUACCGGAUAAUGUCUUCGGACCAAAGAUUUAUCGCCUUUGGAUGGGCCCGCGUUGGAUUAGCUAGUUGGUAGGGUAAAAGCCUACCAAGGCGACGAUCCAUAGCUGGUCUGAGAGAUGAUCAGCCACACUGGGACUGAGACACGGCCCAGACUCCUACGGGAGGCAGCAGUGGGGAAUAUUGGACAAUGGGCGAAAGCCUGAUCCAGCAAUGCCGCGUGAGUGAUGAAGGCCUUAGGGUUGUAAAGCUCUUUUACCCGGGAUGAUAAUGACAGUACCGGGAGAAUAAGCUCCGGCUAACUCCGUG